GCCGGGGUGGCGGAAUUGGUAGACGCACAGGACUUAAAAUCCUGGGCCUGGAAACGGGCGUAUGAGUUCGAUUCUCAUCCUCGGCACCA
rnacentral:tRNA from 1 species